CCUUUUCAAAAACCAUCAUUAAUAAAAUAGAAAAUUAUUAAGUCACCUGGAACUCGCAACUUUCGGCUUGCUGCUCAGUUGAACGCCGGUAAACAAACUCCGAAUUUCAGUCAAUGGCUAGCGAAAACCAGGACCCGGCUAUUCGGAUCCUCUGCCGGAGGUUCCAGAUUAUCAGGAACGAAUCGGGUAUUCAAUGGCUCAUCGGCUCUCCAUUCUUCCCUCGCUACACCGUUAUCUCUACUUUCCGAUGUAUCCACACUACCUCCUCCAAUUCUCUAUCGCCGGAUUUCGCAAAAGAAUCAGAUGAUAUAAGAACAUUGCUCCCCAAGGGUUUUGAAGUUAUUGGAGCUUUAAUUGUCGAAAAAGACUGUAAUUUUGACAAAAUCGCGAAGGAGGCGAUUAAUGCAGCUUGUAAUUUGAGGAAAAGUUUGUCCAGUGAUGCAAAUUUGGGAAAUCUGGAGCUGAUCGGGGCUGUGGUGGAUUUGAAUAACGCUAAGGAUGUUCGUUUUUUCGUGUCCAGGGAUGGAAAAAUGGAUAGUCUUGAGAGUGUUAGUUCAAUUGUGUAUGAAGACAAUCCUGAAAAGUUUGUUUGGGAAAGAGGUUGUUUGCUCCAUUGUGCUUUGCAAGUAAAAUUGCCUUUAUAUUUUCAGCCAAGCAAACCUAACGAUAUACAUGAGAUAUAUAUGCGUGCAGCUGAUGCUGUUGCUAGUAAAUUCAGAGACCCACAAGUUACUUGCCUAAUAGAAGCUUCAAAUGAAACUUCUGGUGCUAUUGUUCUUCGUGGUUCAGAACUGAGCACAGAUAGUUCAAGUUCUUUCGCUGAACUUAAAGAUUCUGAUACAAAAGCUUUGUUAUGUUCACACUUCUCUUCAAGGAACAAAGUUAUUACCUCAUUUUCUUCAAUAGAGGAGAGUGCAGAUAAAAUCCAAGUUAGCUUUCUGCUUAACAAAUCAAUGAAUUCUGUGAAACCUUCUGCACCUAUUGCUGAAUAUUAUCCAGCCACCCAAGAAACUCAACUUCUGGUCAUAGGUCAUAAACUAGAAGUGCUUUGUUAUGCGUCGAAAGAUCUGUCACUGGCUUAUGGCAUUUCAAAGUUGGUCAUCCCUGCACUAGUUGACCAGUUACACUCCAUGAGGAAAGUUAAUAUUCCCGACCUUUUAAAAGGGCAUCCAGAGUUGCAUCCAUAUCACUUCCUUCCUCCAGGAAUUUUACAUCCGAUUACAGUCUUAUAUGAACUUAGUUAUGGUGAAACAGAACUGAAGCAAGUUGAAACAAGAAGAUCCCUUCAUUUGAGACUUGGUUUACCUUUUGAUCGCCCUCUUCUAAGAAUUUCAAAUGCCAUUGAUGUAGUAGGAAAGAAACAUAGUAGCAGCUUAGUCCAGAAAGGUUCUUCUUUUCUCAAGGAUGUACAUUUGACGAUACCAAGUAGUGGUGUUUCCGGAGGUGUGGCUUCUCUGGUUCAAGGUUCUUAUCAGUACUACCAUUACCUCCAUGAGGGACUUGAUGACUCGGGUUGGGGCUGUGCUUACCGCUCUCUGCAAACAAUCAUUUCAUGGUUCAAGUUGCAAAACUACACUUCAAUUGAUGUCCCGUCACACAGGGAAAUACAACAGGCACUAGUAGAGAUUGGUGACAAAGAUCCUUCAUUUAUAGGGUCACGUGAAUGGAUUGGAGCCAUUGAACUGAGUUUUGUAUUGGAUAAACUGAUUGGAGCUAGUUGCAAAAUCAUAAAUGUCAGAUCUGGAGCUGAGCUUCCUGAAAAGUGCCGAGAGUUGGCAUUGCAUUUUGAGAAUCAAGGAACUCCUAUCAUGAUUGGUGGUGGUGUUCUUGCCUACACUCUCCUGGGUGUGGAUUAUAACGAUGCAAGUGGAGAUUGUGCUUUCCUUAUACUGGAUCCUCAUUAUACCGGCAGUGAUGAUAUCAAGAAAAUAGUGAAUGGUGGAUGGUGUGGGUGGAAGAAAGCUGUUGAUAGCAAGGGAAAACACUUCUUCUUGCAUGAUAAGUUUUAUAACCUUCUGCUCCCUCAACGCCCUAAUAUGGUCUAGUUCAUGUUAACAUACAAAAAGUCCAUGUUCAGAUAGACAACAAACAGAGCCAAUCUCUCUGUUCAAGUGUGUUGGGGGUUGGCUGGACUUAAUUUAUCAACCUGUUUUUAUUUUGUUGUCCUUAAAUGAGAAGUUCGAAUUUUGAGCUUUAUGUUUUUCAGAAAGCACUAGAAAGAGUGGACAAGGAAUUAAAAUACUCCGCACCAAUGUAUUUUGACAUCCCACAGCUAUGACAGAUCGCUUAGCCAUUUGAAAACCUUUGUUGGACUGUGAGCUAAUGUCGAAAUUGGUGCACUGUUCAAGUUUGAAUGAGAGUGCUGCAUGCAGUUUCAAAGCAUCACUUCAGAAUGAAUUGACGGGACUAUAUUGUUCGGACAAACAGUCAACUUAGAUAAAGAUGUGAAGCUUUUUAAAUGCGAACCAAAAGGGUAAGAUAUGAGUUUGCUUUUUGUCAUAAAAAGAAGUCUCAUACGACUAAUGUUAGUCGUGAAAGACACGUUACUCUCCA